GAUGAACGCUAGCUACAGGCUUAACACAUGCAAGUCGAGGGGCAGCAUUGGCGUGGCUUGCCACGCCAGAUGGCGACCGGCGCACGGGUGAGUAACGCGUAUCCAACCUGCCCGUAACCGCGGAAUAGCCCGCCGAAAGGCGGAUUAAUGCCGCAUGCGCUCGCGCGAGGGCAUCAUUUCGCGAGCAAAGGUUUAUUCCGGUUGCGGAUGGGGAUGCGUCCGAUUAGGCAGCAGGCGGGGCAACGGCCCACCUGGCCAUCGAUCGGUAGGGGUUCUGAGAGGAAGGUCCCCCACAUUGGAACUGAGACACGGUCCAAACUCC
rnacentral:rRNA from 1 species